CGCCCAGGGGCGGAGGAGGCGCUGCGAACCCGUUUGGGGGCUUCUUUGUUUCUCUUCGGGCCCCUAUCUGCCGGCUGUACCCAAGCCUUGGGAUGCCAGCCCGGCUUGGGCGGCGACCCGCCCCAAGUCAACAAUUGAACCUCGCGGGAGAAGAGAGGGUGGGUAAAAGGGUGGAUCCCGGCUCUCUGGAGGCAGUGCGCUGCAGGGGCUUCGCAAGGCAGAACUUUACAGAAGAGGAAACCACGGGAAACCAAGUGAAGCCUCAAUUCCCACCCUCCUCCCUCCCCCGGGAGCACCUCCCUUCCAGCCUGCGCUCGUCACUUCAGGUGCCCAGUGAUUUCUCAAUGGACAUUUCCCUCUGUCUGGCAGGAAUCUGAUUUUCCCACCAGAUGAGUUCAACGCUGUCUGUUUUUCAAACCAUAUCUCAAAAGCCACACAGAACCCUGAGCACACAUUUCACCAGAUUUGACAGAUGAGCUUUGGUAUGAAGAAAACCUCCAAGAAUGGACUUGGCUGAGGUGCAACAAUAAACACCAGAAUCAACCAAAUGAUAAUACCAACCAGAAAUUUGGAAGAAAAACAAGUAAAUCAACAAAAGUCUCUUGUAUAAAC
rnacentral:lncRNA from 1 species